GUGCUUGCUUUGGUAGCACAUAUAUUAAAAUUAGAAUGAUACAGAGUAGAUUACAUGGACCCUGCAUAUAGAUAAUAUGCACACUUGUGAAACAUUUCAUACCUUU
ensembl:snRNA U6 U6 spliceosomal RNA